CAUUUAUUUUCUAUAAAUGCCUUGGCAUUUAUAUUGCAACAGGAGACUAUUCAGUGACAUUAUCUGAUAAAUAUCAUGUUAUACAGCUGCAAUUUACAAUGCAUAUAUUUUUAACAGUGCUUCUAAGCUAAAUUAAAUGCUUCUAAAAUAUGGUACUUACAGAAAACAAAUGUCUGUUCUAGCAAUUUUGUUUUUCAGGGUACACUAUUUUUUUAUAACCAGAUACCAUCUUUAUCCUGUCAGGCAGUAAAUUAUGCACUUGCACUUUCAUAAACUCUCCCCUUGGGAACUUAGUCAAUGAAAUGGAAAUGUCUUUUUCACACCCUCCAACUUCAGAGAAAUACAGGGAAAUAGCCAACUUGGUUAUAAACUGAACGUCUAGAGGGAAUCCAUAUAAAAUGUGGAUUAAUGCAGUCCUGAUGCAUGUAUUGUUUAGCAUAUGUACCAUUCACUCAAAUGGCGCAUUGAAUUGUGACUCAGAUCCUUAAUGUCUUUUUUUUUUUUUUUUUUAAUUGGGAGAGUAAUUGCAUGUUCUGUGAUGGGAUCUGCAGGUAGGAAGACACCCACUGGCCCCUGGCUGUUAACCUUCCUCCCAAGGCACGGCAGCUGUGGAAGGAAGAAAACUGUUGGCCUGCUCAGGGGAGUAAAACACAACAGAUUUUACACCUAGGUGGAUCUUUCCCUGGGUUGUGAGUUUAUUUUGAUACCAAAUUUCUAGCUACUGAAGGUAAUUGAGAUUGCAAACAAAAUCUCACUAUCCACUGAUCUGCCAAAUCAAAUUUUCUUCUCCUACUACUCGCGCUCCCUUGGAUCCGUCCUAUCCGUAUGUUUGGUGCCAACGUACUGCAAUAAUCAAAGUUGAUGCCAACAAGGAAACUGGGUUUUCUUCUUCCUCUCGAGUGAGAUCUGUCUACACUGAGAUUUUGAGAUUUUCACUGGUCUCAAGUCCUGUUGAGAAGUUUAAUUAACCCCAAGUGUUGGGAGAUGAACUAUUUUGUACGCUCCUUCUCCUGAAGUUGCUUCAAGCAUUUUGUAAUCAUAGCUCUAGGGUGAGCCAAUUCAUCCCUAAACCCAACGUAUUCACACCUAGUCAGGCCACCUCUCCCAGAGCCUGGUAGCAGCCCUGGAACAAGAGCAGUGGGAGCAACAGCUCUGCAGCACUUUGGGGAGGGGAUUUAACUCUGCAGAACUCAUACAAAACUCAUAAAGACUCUGUCCUUCACUUCAAAACAUCUGCUAAUUCUACUUACGUGCUCAUCAUCGAAAGGUUGCCUAUAUUUUUCUUUUAGGUUUACAAAAAUAAGCAUUGGUGAAUGAAGAUGAAAGGAAAAUGUUCCUGGUUCCUUCCCUGGAGAUCGUAUUUCUUACUUGUUGCAUAACUGCUUAUUUUAGCAUCAGUCAGCCGAGCCUUUGUUGUGUAGACAAUUCUGUCCUUUUAGAGGAUUUGUGCAGUAUUAUUUCUUCCAAAAUGCUUUUUUUGUUUUUAUUAUUACAUUUAUUUCUUCUCUUAGCAAAUCCCAACUGACAACACCCUGUCAGAGCAUGUGAUAUAUAAAUGUCAUACUAUGUAAACUGAGUAUCCUAUGUAUCAUAUACAUGACCUUUCUGUAGAACCAUCCAUCAGGUGUUAUCUCUGUGUAUUUUAUAUGUAUGUGUUACAUACAUGCAUUUGUGUACAAGUUUUGUUGAAGUGUGCAUAUAUGGUAGCCAAAAAUCUGUUAAGCAUGCAUUCACUCCUGGCCAGGAAAGUACUCAAAAUGCAGAAAUGUCCGAAGUCUUCUUGUCCAUGCAACUUAAUC